AUGGCGCUGGCGUCUUUGUCCAAGGUGGUGCUGGGGUCGGCGGCGUUCGGGGUGUUCUGGGUGCUGGCCGUGUUCCCGUCGGUGCCUUUCCUGCCGAUCGGCCGCACGGCGGGUGCGCUGCUGGGGGCGGCGCUGAUGGUCGUCUUCCACGUGAUCAGCCCGGAUGACGCCUACGCCUCCGUGGACCUCCCCAUCCUGGGCCUCCUCUUUGCCACCAUGGUGGUCGGCGGCUACCUCAAGAGCGCCGGCAUGUUCGGGCACCUUGGCCGGCUGCUGGCGUGGCGGAGCCAGGGCGGGCGCGACCUGCUGUGCCGCGUCUGCGUCGUCACGGCCCUCGCCAGCGCGCUCUUCACCAACGACACCUGCUGCGUGGUGCUCACGGAGUUCGUGCUCGAGCUCGCCGCCGAGCGCAACCUCCCCGCGAAGCCGUUCCUGCUGGCGCUGGCCACCAGCGCCAAUAUCGGGUCCAGCGCCACGCCCAUCGGGAACCCGCAGAACCUGGUCAUCGCCUUCAACAGCAAGAUCUCCUUCGUGGGCUUCUUCCUCGGCAUCCUACCGGCCAUGCUCGCAGGCAUGGCCGUCAACAUGGUCAUGCUGCUCUGCAUGUACUGGAAGGACCUCGAGGGGAGCAGUCCCGACGCGGUGGCCGCCGAGAAGGAGAUGGCGGCAGUCGAGGAGGGUCGCCGGCCGUCCCCGGCAACGUCGACGACGCUCAAGAGCCCCGGCCAGACGAUGCUGGUCCAGUCGCCGUCGCUGGUCGCGGCCGCCGACCACGACUCGGUGAUGGUGGAGAGCAUCUCGACCAAGCACCGGUGGUUCAUACAGUGCUCGGCGCCGCAGCGGAGGCUGUUCCUCAAGAGCUUCGCGUACAUCGUGACCGCCGGCAUGCUGGUCGCCUACAUGCUCGGGCUCAACAUGUCGUGGACCGCCAUCACCACCGCCGUCGCGCUCAUCGUGGUGGACUUCCGCGACGCCGAGCUCUGCCUCGGCAAGGUGUCUUACUCGCUGCUGGUUUUCUUCACGGGGAUGUUCGUGACGGUGAGCGGGUUCAAUAAGACGGGGCUCCCUGGCGCCAUCUGGAAAGUCAUGGAGCCAUACUCCAAGAUCAACCACGUCAGGGGCAUCACCGUGCUCUCCCUCAUCGUCAUCAUCCUCUCCAACCUAGCCUCCAACGUACCAACCGUGCUGCUGAUGGGUGACGAGGUGGCGGCGUCGGCGGCGACGAUCUCGGCGGCGGCGGUGACGCGGUCGUGGCUGCUGCUGGCGUGGGUGAGCACGGUGGCGGGUAACCUGUCCCUGCUGGGGUCGGCGGCGAACCUCAUCGUGUGCGAGCAGGCACGCCGGGCGCCGCGCAACGCACACGACCUCACCUUCUGGAGCCACGUCGUCUUCGGCGCGCCGUCCACGCUCGUCGUCACCGCCGUCGGCAUACCCCUCAUCGGCAUCAUCAACGCUGCCUAG
rnacentral:rRNA from 1 species